rnacentral:lncRNA from 1 species
ACUGCAAUUGAUCGACACUUGGCAACUUCAAGCCAUGCAGGGUCGGCCAUUAAGUCGAUUAACGGUCGUACAUGCUUGCAUGUGAUCUGAUGGAUCAGGUUUGACUGCCAUCUUCAUAUUCUUCCAUUUUACCAUUUAAAAGAAGAGAUAAAACUUUAAAACUAGAGAGAGAGAAAAAAAAAAAGGAAACUUGAGAGUUAGACGAGAGAAAAUCAAGUUGUUUCGCUACAACAAGCUUAUCACCGAACUGCUCCUCAAUUCUUCGAGCGGUAAGCUUCUCACUUACCUCAUUCUUCUUUUCUUUCCAGAACUAAUGCACACCAUAAACUCUAUUUCCUUCUUCUUCGUGCUUACAGAAGAAAGGUUCUGCAAGUCCGGCCGCUGCAGCAGGCUUUUUUCUUUAAAACUCACAGCUCUUUCCCUUCCUCUUUUGGAACCAAACUCCGUUUAGCUGUUGGUAAGGAAUAUGGCAGAAUUUUCAAACCCCUGAUGGAAUUUUUUUUUUAUUAAAGGCGUCUUAAAUAUGCAUCCAUGAAAUAAUUUAAAAAGGAAAUAUUUCGUAUCAAAUGUUCGAUGAAAUUUCAUUUGCUUCAGUUUAAUGUUUGAGGAUUGUGAAAGCUUGUUUAGUGGUGGUUUUAGAGGAGUUUAAAUUACAUGAAUUAAUUGAAAGAAGGUUGGAUAAAUAGGGCACCAAGGUACUGAGAAAAGUGGCUACACAAGCACCACGAUGUGCCAGACAUACGAGGGCCACUGUCUAGGAACACGUGUGUCGAGACAGGGCCCCGCACAUGCAAUGCCUGCAUAUAACAGCGCACUCAUGUUCGCCAGGUGCUCAUGUACUGCAAGGGAGCCCACAAAUGACAUGCGUGUGCCUAUGUAGGGACUGCUUUGGCAUGCCCUUAGUGCGGAAGCCAAUCCCCAAGCAUGCACGGUUCACACGCGAUUGUGCACUCCACUGAGCACCCAUCGCGCGAGCGAGAGCGUGCACAAGCAUACUAUGCUGCGUGAAGGAUACUGAUAGUACACUACAUUGCAAGCGCGUGCGGGCAUGCUGCACCACAGAAACACGCGUGCAGACACCCACGUUAUGCGAGCAUGCAGGCAUAGUUCCCCACGCGAGGCGACUUGCAGUCCCAUGCACAAGGGCUAGUCCCUGACACCCCCACAGUGUCCAACCUGUUUACCCAUGUGCACGGAAACGUGCUGUACGCUGGACUGAGUGACUCUACCAGCCACACUCGUCUGCCAAGAGCACCUCACAGCUAGCCCCUGCCUCGCCUGUUUGGCGGAUGCAGGGAGGGAUUUGCAUUAAAUGGGCCCGUGUCAUUUGGAAGACUUUAAGGAGCCUUUAACUUGACUGAUGGGCUUCUACUAGACCCAAGUCUGUCACUAGGCCUAACCAAGCCCGGAGAUUUAAAAUGGACUCUCAUAGGAUCCAAAAUUGAGUUUUAGGGCCUGAGGGUCUAAAAAAGGUUUUAAUGGAUACCAACCGAGUUUGGCCAAAUUUGAAUGGGCAUAUGGGCCGUGAACAGGAUAGGCACUGGCCAAAAAUGACAUAGAAGUAUAGUGAUAGGCCUAUCAGGCCGAAUGGUACAAAAUUCUCGAAAAGUCUGAAAUGGUCUAAUUAAUUAGGGUUUUUUGUUAUGGUAGUACUGGCUUAAUACAGUAAUAUAAGUCAACCCAAACCCUAAAUCUGUUUGUCAGUUAUUAUGGAAGGGUUAUUAUUAUGCACCUGUUACCCACUGUUAGUGAACAACACCCUGUGAAUGAACACUGUAUUGGCCUUUCCUCUUACAAGAGUUAAUCGUUACCGACUAUAGGGAUCAUAGUGGUGAAAUAAUGUCGUGACUAUAAAACUAAUGUAUUAUUAUUUUCUGAAUUGAAUUGUUACUUCCAUUCACAAUGGUAGUUAGGGAUCCCUUUUGUCUUCCUUUGAUAUAGAAUCAAACAACUUCGCACAACGAUCUGAACCAUUGGAACCAAAAUGAGUCAUUUUAUUUGGAUAACUUAGUUUAUUUAUUAAUCUAGUUAUCGGUUAGUUAUAAGUUGCUAUAAAUGAUGGGUUGUCAUGCAUCUGAUUAUGUAGUUAGGGAUGGAUUGGUGAAUGUUAUUCUAAGAAAGAUAUAUUAGUAUUUUUACUACGAAAUUUUUAGUAGUCUGAAACAUGCAAGUACGGUAUUUAAACUAAUAAAUGUAUUUUCACUUAUAUGUCUUAAUUAACUUUUAAGACAUUAUGAGUAUGGUUAUAAUGCUAUUUUCCUUAUUGAGUUUUAUAAAACUCACCUCAAUCCAUUCCCCUAAGAUGAUAUUGAAGAAGAAGAUCUGUCUCUUGACCUAUCCCUUGAUGCAUGUUUGGAUCCAUUCAUGGAUUCGUAGCUUGUUGAGUGCGAAUGUGUGCAUCGUUUUGGAAGAUUUCUAUUUUCUUAAUGGAAAAAGUGGCUAGAACUGUAUCUAUUUUUGUUAGAUAAAUUUUUUGCCUCAUAAGUGUAAAGUACAUUAUUAAUUUUUGUAAGGGAUGAAUGAACUUCCGCAUCGUACUUAUAUAUUUGCAUUCAUAUCUAUUCUAUAUUGGACACCACUUCCCAUUGGGUAGUGGGAUAUCACACCAUUUGAGUGAACACUAUAUAUGCUAAAGUUUUACCCAAAGAAAAAACUAUAGUGAUAUCAAUAGUUCAUCAUUUAUAAAUAUACUUGAGAUUUUACUGUGAGCAUUAUUCUAUUUGUACAGUUCUCACUUUAUUGCAUUCUCUUGCAUUCAGAAUAACAACUUUUGAUUGAUCGAAUUUUUCAUAGUGGUAUGAAAAGGUCCAAUUCUCACUAGGUGUAUUAGAUCUUGACCUGGCUUUAAUAACUAAAAAACCUCCUGAAGCUAUCAAUGAUUGUACCCCAAAGCAGAUGGAAUAAUUGAAAGUUUUGUUAAGGUCGAAUAGACUUAGUUUUAUGUUUAUAAGAAUGACUAUUGGUACUAAUAUCAAGACCUCACUCCCUCAAAUUGAGACAGCCUCCAAACUUCUGAAAUAUGUGGAGAAGCAUUUCAAAUGUGUCGAUAAGUAUCUUGCAAGCACAUUAAUGACUAAAUUGACCACUAAGAAAUAUGAUUGUCAGAAAGAAAUUCAACAACCAUUCUGAACAUGACUGAAAAAGCUAUAAAAUUUAAGGCAUUGGGUAUGAACAUGGAUGAGUUCUUCUUAGUAAAGUUUGUAGUUAACUCACUUCCUUCACAGUUUGCUCCAUUCAAGAUCCACUAUAACAUUAAUAAUGAGCAGUGAAAUAAAAAUGAGUUUACUAGUAAGUGUAUUCAGGAGGAAAUGAGAUUAAAGUAAGACAGACAUAAUUUUUCCCUUGUCGUAGCUCAUGGAGCUAUGAAAUAAAGCAAAUCUAGAAAAGCAAAGAAUAUUCCACCAAAGAAACAGUGUGGAUCUUGGGAGAAUAACCAAAGUCAUGAUGGAAAAUUCACUUUAAAUUACUACUUUUAUGGCAAGAAAGGUCAUGUGAAUAAGGAAUGUAAUAAAUGUAAGGCUUGAUUCGAAAAGAGAUGUAUAAAUCUUUCUUUUAUAUGUUAUGAAUUAAAUCUUGCUGAGGUUCCUUCUAAUAGUUGGUGGAUUGAGUCUGGAGCCAUAACUCAUGAUACUAUUUUAAUGCAGGGAUUCCUUACAACCUAGAAACCGAAAGAAAGUAAAAACGGUAGUUGUGAGUAUGUAUUGCUUGCUACUAGUGACUAGUCAUCAGAUGGAUCUUUUGAAUAUUUUUUAUGUAUCUUCAAUUUUUAGGAAUUUAAUUUCUCUAUCUAAAAUAGAUGUUCUUAGAUAUUCAGUUUAUUUUGGUUGUAAAAAACUAAGUUUGGUGUUUCAAUCAAUGACAGUUGGUUUUGAUAUUUUAUAUGACUGUUUACAUAAAAUUUUUCUGAAUCAAGAAUUUGAACAAGCUUUAGUUAGCCUGCAUCCAAAUAUUAGUUCAAAACAUGACUUAAUUAAUGAAAAUUCUUCAUUCUUGUAGCAAAAAAUAUUAGGGCAUAUGUAACACUCUACCCAUCAUUGUGCUAAAAUGAUUUAAAACCUCUCUUUAUUAAAGCUUUUGGUCGCUUUGAACUUAAUCAAUUUACGCUGUUUAAUAAUUUUCAUGAUUCAUGAUUUUAAUUUAUUUUUAUUUUUAUUUUAUUUUAUUUUAAAUUAAAAAAUUAGAAAAAAAAUCAAAAACGGCAAAAUGGGAAAAAUUGCUCGCGAGAAAAAUCCUACAAGAGGGUGGUUUGCCCACACGUGUGCUGGGCAUUGUGCGCACGCAUGCACGCACAGUGACCACGGGGCGUGUGCAAAGCGCGCACGACGUGGGGUCAGGACCUGUGGACGCAUCGUGUCGCGCACAGGCAGGCCGUCCAUGCGUAACUUCGCACACGGAUAGGUGUCACACACUGUGCGCACGCCGUCCGCGCAGCAGGCCUGUGCGCACAGGGCCUGCACGCCCGCAAGCUAGCCAUUACAUGCACGGCAGUAGGCCUCUGUGCCUGCAGCGCACUGAUCGGAGCACAAUCACUUCGAACAGUGCACUGCCGCUGCCUUCGGCAGCGCGCCACCACUACUGGUAGAGGAGGCCCUCAUCCCUCGUUUUUCAUGUCGAGCAUCUCUUUUUCUCUCUCUUCAUCGGAUUUCACCACUUGUCGCGAAUCCAACGAUUCUAAAAUUCUAUAAAUUACACUCCCCUUUCUAUUCCUCUCCACACUUCCAUUUCUUCCAAUUUUCAAAGGUUUAGAGAGAGAAAGAGAGAGAUAGUAGAUUAGUGAGAGAAGAAGAGAAAGAAAGGAAAAUAGUGAAAAAGAAAUCAUCGAAGUUUCAGUAACGAAUCUAAUAUUUCUUUCGACAUCUUAAGGAAUAUUUUUAGAUAAACGAAUUUAAUAUGAUUGUUAUUUUGCCUAUUUUGUAUGCCUCUAUGUUCAGAUGAGUCAAAUUGUUCUGGUUUUCAAGUAUGCUAUGUGAAUUACAGACACUUGAUGAAUUUGCAUGUAAUAAAAAUAAUAUGUAAUUGGUAACAUUAAAAAGUAUAAAAGUAAAGAAAAAGAGAAAAGUGGAAUAAAGCCUGUAUGGUUCGUAGUGUAUCAUGCAUAUUGCAUCAAGUGUCUCGUUAGGCUUUUUAUCUCUGAGGAGUAUCUGUUCUCCUUGCCUUUCGGGGUAUCUGUUUCCCCCUUAUCUAGUUUGGAAAGACGUAAGAGGACCGUUCUCAGUAGAUGACGGCGUGCCCUCUGACAAGCAUGGUACCACAUUAUCUGUAGGGGUCACCUGUAGCUGAUUAAGUCGUGACUAUAGAUAUAUAUUAGGACCACUAUGGUUGGUACGACUGUAGUCAUAGAUCGUAUAAUGGUUUAUCUAGCCGGAAGUGGGCCUGAGCAAAUUGUUGUAUCUGUAUCUGAUCUGGUCAUCCCACUCGAAUAGUUUGAAAUCUGUAUCUACCCUCAGAGAUGGAAGUUUGUAACAACUUCGCGAAGCAUGAUACGAAAACUUUGUGCAUUUCAUAAUUUAUUUCAUUUUUUUUAUUAUCUGACAUGAUGUAUAUUUGUUUUUUUGUGCUAAUGUAUCAUUUUCUUAACAAAUAAAUUAUUUUCAUAAUAGUGAGAUAGGUAAACGAGAAAGUUCAACGGUAAGAUAAAAUAAUAAAUUUUUGAAAUCAUACGAUGUUAAUUUAAUAUUGUUUUCUUUACUGAGCAUAUGGAACUCACUCUUUCCAUGGCCCCCCAUAUUAGGAUGAAAAUGAGGAAUCGCAGGUAGACCUACCCUUGGAAGUCUAUGAGGAUCUCGUCUACAAGUCUCAAUGCAUGACUGUUCUCGCACUCUGAUGAAUCCAACAGCAUAGUGAAAGAAGUGGCCAUUAUAUUUUGUAUAUUGUAACUACUCUGGCCUCAGUUUAUGUAUGUAUUUGGAACAUUAUAUAUAUUUGUAAGGGAUUUGUUAUGGUUUGAUUAUGCUGUAUAAAGUUUAUCAUGCACUCAUUAUUCUGAAUCUGUAUCUAACACUCAUUUUUCUUAAUUAGUACUUGAGAUGUCACAGAUGGUAUCAGAACAGAAUUUCGCAGAACAAAUCCCUUGCACUGAGACG